UACGGAGGGAGCUAGCGUUGUUCGGAAUUAUUGGGCGUAAAGGGCGCGUAGGCGGCCUGCUAAGUCGAACGUGAAAUCCCCGGGCUCAACCCGGGAACUGCGUCCGAUACUGGUUGGCUUGAAUCCGGGAGAGGGAUGCGGAAUUCCAGGUGUAGCGGUGAAAUGCGUAGAUAUCAGGAGGAACACCGGUGGCGAAGGCGGCUACCUGGACAGAAACUGACGCUGAGGCGCGAAAGCUAGGGGGAGCAAACAGG
rnacentral:rRNA from 1 species